CCCUAUUAUUUUUGAAUGUUAAUUGUGUUGUGUCUGAGUAGUAUUAGCUAUGUUCUUGAAACUUAAAGAAUUUGGCGGUAUCUCAUUCCUUCCAGAGGAAUCUGUCUCGUUAUCGAUAGUCCGCGUUGGACCUUACUUAGUUGCUUUGGUUUGUAUACCGCCGUUUAUUGAUUAUCUUUUUAGGGUUGGUUUAAUUUUCUGGUUUCUUUAUUUUGGUUUAUUUCAGGUCAAGGUGCAGCUUGUUUCUAAGUGAAUGAUGGAUUACAUUGUUAUUUGUUUAUUGGAUUGUUGAUUUUAAUAUUGGCAUGAAAUUGGAUUUGGUUGUAAUGAUUUGUAGGUUGUUAUUAUGAUAUUUGGUUCUGGGAUAUGCACACAUCGCCCGUCGCUCUCGUUUGUUGUUAAUGAGAUAAGUC
rnacentral:rRNA from 1 species